GCUGGGUGUGGUGGCACAUGCCUGUAAUCCCAGUGGCUCAGGAGGCUGAGGCAGGAGGAUCAUAAGUUUGAAGCCAGCCUCAGCAACUUAGUGAGAUCCUGUCUCUA
rnacentral:sRNA from 1 species